GUAGGUGAACCUGCGGAAGGAUCAUUAUUGAAUAAACCUGAUGUGGUUGUAGCUGACUCUCAAGGGAGUAUGUGCACACCCAUCAUCUUUAUCUUUCCACCUGUGAACCCUAUGUAGGUCCAAAAAUUUUUCCGAGACACUCGGGCGUGAGGUCUGCCGUGCCUAAACACCGGCUUUCCUUGAAUUUUUGAACCUAUGUUUUUAUAUACCCCAAAAAUGUAACAGAACGUAUCAUUGGGCUUCAUGCCUA
rnacentral:misc_RNA from 1 species